rnacentral:lncRNA from 1 species
AAUAUUCACUCUUCUCUCUUCAUUCAUGAUGAAAAAAAACUCUGCCAUCUUCACAAUAGACUAAUUCACUUCAUUGAUUCCAUCUCUAUUAUGCAAUAUGAAACUUAUUUAUUAAUUAUUUAAAUACCUAUUAUCAUAACAUCAAUGAUAAUCAUUAAAGGAUUAUUGAUUGCUGAUUGCUAUUAUUUCAAUGAUUAUUCAAAUCUUAAUUACUGAGAAGAGGAUGUUGGUCCUCUUCUCAAUAACUCGACCUCCAUUCGGACUACAUGACAGUCGAGAUUUUGGGAUUCUAUUGGAUAAUAGAACAUUAUGUAACUGAUGUCUGUUGAGUAACUAAGUUAUAUGGGACUCUUUUGAUCAAUUUCAAUAAAAAGUGUUAUGUAAAUUAUUAUCAUUUAAUAUAGAAAAUAUUUUCAUCGCUUUCAAAGUUGAAAAUAUAACCUACCGAGAAUCUACAAGAUUGCUCACACAACUUAGUCCAUUCGAAAAAAACUUACGACAUGUGUGCACUUAACCAUCGACUUUUAAAUUAAUCACUGGUUUUAUUAAGUAACCUCUUACUUACAAAUUUGAAUUUGAAGUAUUAGGAGUUAAUUUUUCAUAUGCCACUUCUUCCUUGACUCAUUCAAUUAUUCCCAUAAUAUUUUCAAUCUGCUUAAUCAAUAAGCUUAGGAGGUGGGAAAAAUAUUUUGCUCCAUCAAAAAAUAGCUAUAAAUACUUUGUUUUAUUCCUAAGGACUCGAAUUGAAAAGGCGAGAGCGGCAUUCGAAAGCAUGUCGCAUGAUUUGGCUCUUGAACUAAAAAUUAGACUCCUCCGUUUUUAUAUAGUCUCAAUGUCAUUGUAUGGAGUAGAGUCUUGGACCCAGACUGAAACAAUAACAAAGAAACUUUGAAGUAUUCGUGAUUAGGACCUAUAGAAGAUUCCUGAAAAUAUCAUGGAUGGAAAAAAUUUCCAACAACAGGGUUCUUCAACAACUCAAUCAUGUUCACUGUCAAAAGAUGAAAGAUGGAGUAUCUGGGUUACAUUAUGAGGAAUGGAAUUGAAUAUCAGUUGUUAAAAUGUGUACUACGGAGUAGCCUAAAGUUCGUAGCAGGAGAGGCUUUGGUAGGGGACAAAUUUCCUGGUUGAAGAAUUUGAGAACAUGUUUUGCAGUGUCGACCCCGGAACUUUUUAGAACAGCUGUCAACAAGUUAUAAUUGCCAGAAUGAUUGCCAACAUUCGGUAAUGGAUAGGCACAAGAAGAAGAAUUCCGUAUUUUUAAUAUUCAGUAUUUAUUUAUCAUGUCAAUAUCACUUGGGUAUUUUUUGUUGUAGGAGUCAAGUGUAGUCCCUCAUCAUGCACCUCACUUCUUUUUACAUAGAGUUUACAGAAGUAGGUCACAAUUUGUUUUUAAAAAAGUUUUUUCAUUGUUGGCCUGUGUAAUCAAUAAGUAAGAAUAAUAAUCAAAUCAGAGUUUCAAUAAAAGUUUAAUAAGAGUACCUCAGUAAAGUAGUCCAAUCUUAUUAAAUACAUUAAUAAACUUUUAUAGAAAAUUUUUAUAGAAAAGUUUAUGUUCAGCUUCUGACAGCUGUUUAUACGCACUGUCUGCUUUCAUAUGAUGCAAACUAGAUUCUUCUUGUAUCGUUUUACGUUCAUUAUCUGUAGAUGCCAAAACAAGUUUUGCGAAUAGUUGAUCACACAAUUUGCAAGUAUCUGACCUAGGAGACCCAAAUCUUAAAUUGAAUUCCCGAUUAACAAAACUGUACAAACUGUAUGUAGCUGGUUGAUUAUAUUUUUCUUCGAAAAGCCUUUGCAUCUUCUUCACUGACAAGUCCAUACUUAGAUUAUUCUAGGUUGACACAUUUCGACUGUAAUGAUUUUCUGUAAGAGGGAAGCUCCUUAUGUGCUCCCUAAUUAGGUCUCUAAUAUUGUUAUCUACAGCAUGGGGUCGAUUUAAAUGUCUACCUCGUUGAUCACGUGGAGUUGUUUCUCCAGCCUUCAGUUUAGCCUGAAGAACUCGAAUACGUUUUACUCUGAUAGAGAA